AGCAGCCGCGGUAAUUCCAGCUCCAAUAGCGUAUAUUAAAGUUGUUGCAGUUAAAAGCUCGUAGUUGAAUUUCGAGAUCAAAUUGUUGGUCGUGCCUUGGUACGCACUGGCAUUAUUGGUUUCUCCCUUCUGACGAACCAUGAUGUCAUUAAUUUGGUGUCUUGGGGAAUCAGGACUGUUACUUUGAAAAAUUGAGUGUUUAAAGCAGGCUCACGCUUGAAUACGUUAGCAUGGAAUAAUGAAAUAGGACGUUUGAUUCUAUUUUGUUGGUUUCUAGGAUCGACGUAAUGAUUAAUAGGGAUAGUUGGGGGCAUUAGUAUUCAAUUGUCAGAGGUGAAAUUCUUGGAUUUAUUGAAGACUAACUACUGCGAAAGCAUCUGCCAAGGAUGUUUUCAUUAAUCAAGAACGAAAGUUAGGGGAUCGAAGACGAUCAGAUACCGUCGUAGUCUUAACCAUAUACUAUGCCGACUAGGGAUCGGAUGAUGUUAAUUUUUUAA
rnacentral:misc_RNA from 1 species